UGUUCUAAGCUGUAGAACACGUCUAGAUGUAAAUAUCAGGAAAUAAAAGAUGCAAGAUGUGAGCUGUACAUCUACAUCAGCUCUGAAAAAAGUCUCGCCUCAGGCAGAAAAACUUCUGCAGCCAACUGGGAAAGAAGCUGAGGUGUGCAGCGUGUGCCGCGUCCAUACCAAACCCCAGGAAGAGGAAAAAAGCUUCGGUGUGUUCAGCGUCCAUCUAAAGCGGAGUGCUGGAGCGAACGCUGAGAGAUCCAACUGAGGAAUAAAAGUUUAGACGAACGUGAGGUCUGCAGUCAUCUUUUGGACAUAGAGACUUCUCCAGCGCAUUUUCAAAGUCUUCCAGCGUCACGUCAUUGAAGAGGCAGCGGGUGCAAGUACGAGAAAACGUGAGCGAGAGAAAAUGACUAAAGCAUGAACUCAGAACAUAAACGCUGGAGCACAAGUAAACAGGCAGACUAGAGCAUGCUGUGGAACACAUGAAUACACAAACAGUAGCUUGACAAUGAGUUGCUCAAACACUAGAAUGUAAACAGUGGGUAUUUAAAGUGUACUUAAAAUAAAAGUGUACUUAAAGCGUACUUCUUUCCUAUUUGGAAUUUUCACACUGCUCGCACUAUUUAUACGACAAAACGGCAUAAUUAGUCCGCAAGCACGCGAAUUGGGACGCACCUCGUUUUGUUUUUUUAAAUCCGUUACGCCGGUAAAAAGUUUGCUAAAAAGUUUCUCGUUCGUUUGUUAUAAUAUAAGAUCAAAUGCUUUCUCUCUGUAAUUGCGGAAACGUGUGCAAAGCUGCGACGAUGUAGCGAGAGCUGUAAGAUGGACGACGAUGAGUCUAGAGUAUGUUGCAUGUCACAUGACCAGGUCACUAAUCAUGCUCACCUGUGUCUCAUUAUGUCUUGUUAGCACCACUGCUUCAGUUCCAGAUUUAUUGGUCAAGUUUGUGGUUUGUUGCGAGUCCUCAAUGUUCUCGCUUAUACGGUAGUGUGUAUGUUUCUUACCUCAUAUCUGUAGGUACUGUUUUGUUCGUACUUUCCACGAUAAACGACCCGCGCUUGCGUCCGUCUCCAGCUACCGGUUCGUGCCGAGGUGAUAAACGGGAGUGUGUCGUUUGUUUAAGUCCACGCAGUAGGUUAUGUAUUAAUGGUGUAAAAUUGUGAGGUGGACUGUCUGGCAAGAUUUUCGCAUUUCAGCCAGCGCCUGUACUGUGUAAUUGCGAAGCAGCUGAGCCAAGCGUCUUGGUGCUUUAACAAGAACCUCAAUGAAUGAGUCAUCGUGCUCCAAAGGAAAAAAGGACAAAAAUAACUAAUCAGUGUGCAGUCUGCACCACACGCGUCUCACGUUCUGUACGCAAGAAAUGUACGGAAGUUUCACAUCCAGCCGAGUCUUCCCACGAUGAACUCGUAUAACCCUGCUGAAUGAAAGCUUAUUUACAGCUACACAGCCAAUCAGAGACGAGUAUUGCCAUUUGGCCGUGCUGUAGAAUAUCUUCCGACAGCUUUAUAUUUACAUUAAACACACCAACUAGAUUGAAAUUGUAUUUAGAACUGCUAUAAACAUGCCACAAUGCAUCAAUGGAAACCGUACAUAAGCUGACGUAUGCAAAUUCACAUCCUUCAUGUUUGUUAAUGCAUUCAGCAAAAGUGUUGAUGCUUGUCGUCAUGGCUACAAAGUAUCAUGACUCUGGUCGCACCGGCCAGCCAAUCAGAAGCGAGCGAUUGCAUUUGGCUGCGGUCUGGAAUACCCUAGGAUGGCUUUAUAAGUGCUGUAAAUAGGGUAACAUUGGCAAGAUGAUGUAAGAUGUUGUGGCGUUAUACAUUGUAUGUUAACGUUACUAUGACACUGUUGCGUCACUGGAUGUAAACAUAUGAGAGUGUUGUUCAUGACGUGGUUAUAAUGUGGUUUAGUCACUCUAAUGAUGCAGAGGUCGAGUAAAGUAUAACUGUGUGUAUAUGUAUGUAUGUAUGUCUGAUUAUAAUAAUAAAUGUAUUCUUAGCUUUGUCCCCAAAAUACCAGAAAUUAGCAGUAAAAAAAUAAAAAUGUGGUGACUGCAAAGAAAGGACAUUUUGAGAAUGUAAUUAAUUCCAGUGAAG
ensembl:lncRNA